UACCAGCUCUCCGAGUUGUAGGGAUGAUUAUUGGGCUUAAAGCGUCCGUAGCUGGCUUAGCAAGUCUCCUGUUAAAUUCAGCGACCUAAUCGUUGAGCCGCGGGAGAUACUACUAGGCUAGGAGGCGGGAGAGGUCGACGGUACUUCCGGGGUAGGGGUGAAAUCCUAUAAUCCCGGGAGGACCACCAGUGGCGAAGGCUGUCGACUAGAACGCGCUCGACGGUGAGGGACGAAAGCUGGGGGAGCGAACCGGAUUAGAUACCCGGGUAGUCCCAGCUGUAAACUAUGCGGGCUAGGUGUUGGGGUGGCUACGGGCCACUUCAGUGCCGCAGGAAAGCCAUUAAGCCCGCCGCCUGGGGAGUACGGCCGCAAGGCUGAAACUUAAAGGAAUUGGCGGGGGAGCACCACAAGGCGUGAAGCUUGCGGUUC
rnacentral:rRNA from 1 species